rnacentral:rRNA from 1 species
CAGCCGCCGCGGUAAUACGGAGGGCGCGAGCGUUGUCCGGAUUCACUGGGCGUAAAGCGUGCGCAGGCGGCCCGUUAAGACAGGUGUGAAAUCCCUGGGCUCAACCUAGGAAUUGCGCUUGUGACUGGCGGGCUCGAGUACGGUAGAGGGGGGUGGAAUUCCUGGUGUAGCAGUGAAAUGCGUAGAGAUCAGGAGGAACACCGAUGGCGAAGGCAGCCCCCUGGGCCUGUACUGACGCUCAUGCACGAAAGCGUGGGGAGCAAACAGGAUUAGAUACCCUGGUAGUCCACGCCCUAAACGAUGGGUACUAGCCGUUUGGUGCGCGAUAGCGCUGAGUGGCGAAGCUAACGCGUGAAGUACCCCGCCUGGGGAGUACGGCCGCAAGGUUGAAACUUAAAGGAAUUGGCGGG